UUUGAACGUUCGAUCUC
rnacentral:rRNA from 1 species